AACGAACGCUGGCGGCAGGCUUAACACAUGCAAGUCGAGCGCCCCGCAAGGGGAGCGGCAGACGGGUGAGUAACGCGUGGGAACGUACCUUUUGGUUCGGAACAACUCCGGGAAACUGGAGCUAAUACCGGAUAAGCCCUAACGGGGAAAGAUUUAUCGCCGAAAGAUCGGCCCGCGUCUGAUUAGCUAGUUGGUGAGGUAACGGCUCACCAAGGCGACGAUCAGUAGCUGGUCUGAGAGGAUGAUCAGCCACACUGGGACUGAGACACGGCCCAGACUCCUACGGGAGGCAGGAGUGGGGAAUAAUGGACAAUGGGCGCAAGCCUGAUCCAGCCAUGCCGCGUGAGUGAUGAAGGCCUUAGGGUUGUAAAGCUCUUUUGUCCGGGAAGAUAAUGACUGGACCGGAAGAAUAAGCCCCGGCUAACUUCGU
rnacentral:rRNA from 1 species